rnacentral:rRNA from 1 species
ACGGAGGGAGCUAGCGUUGUUCGGAAAUACUGGGCGUAAAGCGCACGUAGGCGGCACUGCAAGUCAGGGGUGAAAUCUCCGGGCUCAACCCGGAAACUGCCAUUGAUACUAUUUAUCUUGAAUUCUGUUGAGGUAGGCGGAAUAUAUCAUGUAGCGGUGAAAUGCUUAGAUAUGAUAUAGAACACCGAUUGCGAAGGCAGCUUACUAAGCAGACAUUGACGCUGAGGCACGAAAGCGUGGGGAUCAAACAG